rnacentral:misc_RNA from 1 species
GCAGGAUCAUAAAUAAAAAAGAUAGGAUUAUUAUAAUGAAAGUGUAUGCUGACAUUAUAAUAAUCUUGUCUAUGUUCUAAAUACAAAAUACCUUCACGAGGUUUAGAAUGGGUGAUAUAAGGAAGUUAUAUUAGCUAAAUUUAUGUAUGUUAUAAAUGGGUUGAUUGAUUGUAAUGGCAUGUGUAGUUAGGUGUAAAGAGUUAUCAUUAGAAUUUAAUCUAUGUGGCUUGUUGUUAGUUUUUAUACUAUAAUAUGAAUCUAAACUUGUAACAACACACUUAUUUCAACA